CAUGGUGCAUGCAUUUCUAUUCAUUGGAUACUAUAAUAUUAUGUUUUACUGUGGUAUGGGAUAACUUUGGAUAUCAUGGUAUUCUUUCUCCGUUGGAUGUUUUAUUACGUUUUAUUUCGGACUAGUGCUUCCGAUCUCUCUUGCUCUGCGAACAGAGAUUGUUUCACAAUGAGGAAUCUGAUCUGCGGGUUUCAUAUGGUGGAACCUUUUUAUGGUACGUCAUUUCUACUUCUUAUCAAAUCCUUACGUUUGAAAACUGCAUUCGAAUUUAAUACACUAACAUGUCUACCAUUCUCUAUUUUAAUUAACUUUCACAGAUAAACAUUUCACACAAAAGUCCAUACCCUCUUCCCCAAUAUGUCACAAUAUCACAGCGGUUCAACAGCGAAAUGAUUCCGCCAUUUUGUUGAACGUCACGUGGUCAGGGCCAGCAGAUGGUUCAGUUGGUUUUCUGCAAGGGUUUCUAGUGUAUGUUAGGAGCUCUGAUCCCACCUACACCUACCCGAAAGUUAGCUACCACGUCGAUCUGACAGAGAACGCCAGAUUCUUCAAGAAUGAAACCUUAUUUAACACAAUCAGGAGAGGAGUGUUCAGUGUGCUUUGUAACUACACACGUGUUCGAAAAGAGACGUUGGAUUUCUACAUAAGAAGUCUACCCUCUCCAGAAGACGGUGACAAUAACCUCAAAGAAUGUUGGUCAACCCUUCAGCCAUAUUCCGC